CGGAGGCAGCAGUGGGGAAUAUUGGACAAUGGGCGAAAGCCUGAUCCAGCAAUGCCGCGUGAGUGAUGAAGGCCUUAGGGUUGUAAAGCUCUUUUACCCGGGAUGAUAAUGACAGUACCGGGAGAAUAAGCCCCGGCUAACUCCGUGCCAGCAGCCGCGGUAAUACGGAGGGGGCUAGCGUUGUUCGGAAUUACUGGGCGUAAAGCGCACGUAGGCGGCUUUGUAAGUUAGAGGUGAAAGCCCGGGGCUCAACUCCGGAAUUGCCUUUAAGACUGCAUCGCUAGAAUUGUGGAGAGGUAAGUGGAAUUCCGAGUGUAGAGGUGAAAUUCGUAGAUAUUCGGAAGAACACCAGUGGCGAAGGCGACUUACUGGACACAUAUUGACGCUGAGGUGCGAAAGCGUGGGGAGCAAACAGGAUUAGAUACCCCGGU
rnacentral:rRNA from 1 species